CCCACAUGAUGUGGAACACACGCAACACUCCGAUACCGCUGACCGUGCUUGUGACUGACACCACAUUGCGGACUGACAC
rnacentral:snoRNA from 2 species